UACGGAGGGUGCAAGCGUUAAUCGGAAUUACUGGGCGUAAAGGGUGCGUAGGUGGUUUAAUAAGUUAUCCGUGAAAUACCUGGGCUUAACCUGGGCAGGUCAGAUAAGACUGUUAGACUAGAGUAUGGGAGAGGGUAGAGGAAUUUCCGGUGUAGCGGUGAAAUGCGUAGAGAUCGGAAGGAACACCAGUGGCGAAGGCGUCUACCUGGCCUAAUACUGACACUGAGGCACGAAAGCGUGGGGAGCAAACAGG
rnacentral:rRNA from 1 species